rnacentral:rRNA from 1 species
UGGGGAAUAUUGGACAAUGGGCGCAAGCCUGAUCCAGCCAUGCCGCGUGAGUGAUGAAGGCCCUAGGGUUGUAAAGCUCUUUCACCUGUGUAGACAAUGACGGUAACCGGAGAAGAAGUCCCGGCUAACUUCGUGCCAGCAGCCGCGGUAAUACGAAGGGGGCUAGCGUUGUUCGGAUUUACUGGGCGUAAAGCGCACGUAGGCGGACUUUUAAGUCAGGGGUGAAAUCCCGGGGCUCAACCCCGGAACUGCCUUUGAUACUGGAAGUCUUGUGAAUGGUAGAGGUGAGUGGAAUUCCGAUUGUAGAGGUGAAGUUCGUAGAUAUUCGGAGGAACACCAGUGGCGAAGGCGUCUCACUGGACCAUUACUGACGCUGAGGUGCGAAAGCGUGGGGAGCAAACAGG